GCGAGCGUAGCUCAAUGGCGGAGCACCGAGCUUAUACCUCGGGGGUUGUAGGUUCGAGUCCUACCGCUCGCA
rfam:Bacteroidetes bacterium RIFCSPHIGHO2_02_FTLL_44_7 rifcsphigho2_02_scaffold_193187, whole genome shotgun sequence.